rnacentral:misc_RNA from 1 species
AACGCACAUUGCGCCUCCCUUCGCGGGGAGGCAUGCCUGUCUGAGCGUCAUUUAACCACUCACGCCUAGCGUGGUAUUGGGGCACGCGGUCUCCGCGGCCCUCAAAAUGAGUGGCGGUGCCGGUGGGCUCUAAGCGUAGUACAUACUCCCGCUAUGGAGUUCCCCCGGUGGCUCGCCAGAACCCCCAAUUUUUCACAGGUUGACCUCGGAUCAGGUAGGGAUACCCGCUGAACUUAA